CGGCGGAGGGGGCGGGGCUUGCCGCCGGCCGGCGGAGGCGAUGGCGGCGCGAGCCGGCCUCGGGCCACAGGGGAGCUCACGUCGCCGGCUGCUGCCCGACGGGACCCGAGGACAUUCUUCAGUGAAGCUGGCAAUUUUUCCUUUAGUUUUCCUCCUGCGAGUGCAUGGCGGCGAGGACUCUCAUCCCACUGCUCUGAUGUGCGCUCCAGUCCCCGCUCUCAGCCAUGAAAAGACCCCUCAUCAGAACCUGCCCAUGCUGAGACUCUGAUGUCAGACUGCCAGACUCCAGAACUGUGAGGUCAAUGUCUGUUGUUUAAGCCACAGUGUGUGGUAUUUUGUUUUAGCAGCCCAAGGCAAUGAAGACAAGGGCUUAGCUU